rnacentral:rRNA from 1 species
GCUUUCGGCGUGCUUAACACAUGCAAGUCGAACGGAAAGGCCCUGCUUUUGUGGGGUGCUCGAGUGGCGAACGGGUGAGUAACACGUGAGUAACCUGCCCUUGACUUUGGGAUAACUUCAGGAAACUGGGGCUAAUACCGGAUAGGAGCUCCUGCUGCAUGGUGGGGGUUGGAAAGUUUCGGCGGUUGGGGAUGGACUCGCGGCUUAUCAGCUUGUUGGUGGGGUAGUGGCUUACCAAGGCUUUGACGGGUAGCCGGCCUGAGAGGGUGACCGGCCACAUUGGGACUGAGAUACGGCCCAGACUCCUACGGGAGGCAGCAGUGGGGAAUAUUGCACAAUGGGCGGAAGCCUGAUGCAGCAACGCCGCGUGCGGGAUGACGGCCUUCGGGUUGUAAACCGCUUUCGCCUGUGACGAAGCGUGAGUGACGGUAAUGGGUAAAGAAGCACCGGCUAACUACGUGCCAGCAGCCGCGGUGAUACGUAGGGUGCGAGCGUUGUCCGGAUUUAUUGGGCGUAAAGGGCUCGUAGGUGGUUGAUCGCGUCGGAAGUGUAAUCUUGGGGCUUAACCCUGAGCGUGCUUUCGAUACGGGUUGACUUGAGGAAGGUAGGGGAGAAUGGAAUUCCUGGUGGAGCGGUGGAAUGCGCAGAUAUCAGGAGGAACACCAGUGGCGAAGGCGGUUCUCUGGGCCUUUCCUGACGCUGAGGAGCGAAAGCGUGGGGAGCGAACAGGCUUAGAUACCCUGGUAGUCCACGCUGUAAACGGUGGGUACUAGGUGUGGGGUCCAUUCCACGGGUUCCGUGCCGUAGCUAACGCUUUAAGUACCCCGCCUGGGGAGUACGGCCGCAAGGCUAAAACUCAAAGGAAUUGACGGGGCCCCGCACAAGCGGCGGAGCAUGCGGAUUAAUUCGAUGCAACGCGUAGAACCUUACCUGGGUUUGACAUGGAUCGGGAGUGCUCAGAGAUGGGUGUGCCUCUUUUGGGGUCGGUUCACAGGUGGUGCAUGGCUGUCGUCAGCUCGUGUCGUGAGAUGUUGGGUUAAGUCCCGCAACGAGCGCAACCCUUGUUCACUGUUGCCAGCACGUUAUGGUGGGGACUCAGUGGAGACCGCCGGGGUCAACUCGGAGGAAGGUGGGGAUGACGUCAAGUCAUCAUGCCCCUUAUGUCCAGGGCUUCACGCAUGCUACAAUGGCUGGUACAGAGAGUGGCGAGCCUGUGAGGGUGAGCGAAUCUCGGAAAGCCGGUCUCAGUUCGGAUUGGGGUCUGCAACUCGACCUCAUGAAGUCGGAGUCGCUAGUAAUCGCAGAUCAGCAACGCUGCGGUGAAUACGUUCCCGGGGCUUGUACACACCGCCCGUCAAGUCAUGAAAGUUGGUAACACCCGAAGCCGGUGGCCUAACCGUUGUGGGGGAGCCGUCGAAGGUGGGACUGGUGAUUAGG